rnacentral:rRNA from 1 species
GUAGGUGGCAAGCGUUGUCCGGAAUUAUUGGGCGUAAAGCGCGCGCAGGCGGUCCUUUAAGUCUGAUGUGAAAGCCCACGGCUCAACCGAGGAGGGUCAUUGGAAACUGGGGGACUUGAGUGCAGAAGAGGAGAGUGGAAUUCCACGUGUAGCGGUGAAAUGCGUAGAGAUGUGGAGGAACACCAGUGGCGAAGGCGACUCUCUGGUCUGUAACUGACGCUGAGGCGCGAAAGCGUGGGGGAGCGAACAGGAUUAGAUACCCUGGUAGUCCACGCCGUAAACGAUGAGUGCUAAGUGUUAGAGGGUUUCCGCCCCCUUUAGUGCUGCAGCUAACGCAUUAAGCACCCCCGCCUGGGAGUACGGUCGCAAGCUG